rnacentral:rRNA from 1 species
ACACAUGCGAGUCGAGCGGUAGCACAGAGAGCUUGCUCUCGGGUGACGAGCGGCGGACGGGUGAGUAAUGUCUGGGAAACUGCCUGAUGGAGGGGGAUAACUACUGGAAACGGUAGCUAAUACCGCAUAAUGUCGCAAGACCAAAGUGGGGGACCUUCGGGCCUCAUGCCAUCAGAUGUGCCCAGAUGGGAUUAGCUAGUAGGUGGGGUAACGGCUCACCUAGGCGACGAUCCCUAGCUGGUCUGAGAGGAUGACCAGCCACACUGGAACUGAGACACGGUCCAGACUCCUACGGGAGGCAGCAGUGGGGAAUAUUGCACAAUGGGCGCAAGCCUGAUGCAGCCAUGCCGCGUGUGUGAAGAAGGCCUUCGGGUUGUAAAGCACUUUCAGCGGGGAGGAAGGCGGUGAGGUUAAUAACCUUGUCGAUUGACGUUACCCGCAGAAGAAGCACCGGCUAACUCCGUGCCAGCAGCCGCGGUAAUACGGAGGGUGCAAGCGUUAAUCGGAAUUACUGGGCGUAAAGCGCACGCAGGCGGUCUGUCAAGUCGGAUGUGAAAUCCCCGGGCUCAACCUGGGAACUGCAUUCGAAACUGGCAGGCUAGAGUCUUGUAGAGGGGGGUAGAAUUCCAGGUGUAGCGGUGAAAUGCGUAGAGAUCUGGAGGAAUACCGGUGGCGAAGGCGGCCCCCUGGACAAAGACUGACGCUCAGGUGCGAAAGCGUGGGGAGCAAACAGGAUUAGAUACCCUGGUAGUCCACGCCGUAAACGAUGUCGAUUUGGAGGUUGUGCCCUUGAGGCGUGGCUUCCGGAGCUAACGCGUUAAAUCGACCGCCUGGGGAGUACGGCCGCAAGGUUAAAACUCAAAUGAAUUGACGGGGGCCCGCACAAGCGGUGGAGCAUGUGGUUUAAUUCGAUGCAACGCGAAGAACCUUACCUGGUCUUGACAUCCACAGAACUUUCCAGAGAUGGAUUGGUGCCUUCGGGAACUGUGAGACAGGUGCUGCAUGGCUGUCGUCAGCUCGUGUUGUGAAAUGUUGGGUUAAGUCCCGCAACGAGCGCAACCCUUAUCCUUUGUUGCCAGCGGUUCGGCCGGGAACUCAAAGGAGACUGCCAGUGAUAAACUGGAGGAAGGUGGGGAUGACGUCAAGUCAUCAUGGCCCUUACGACCAGGGCUACACACGUGCUACAAUGGCAUAUACAAAGAGAAGCGACCUCGCGAGAGCAAGCGGACCUCAUAAAGUAUGUCGUAGUCCGGAUUGGAGUCUGCAACUCGACUCCAUGAAGUCGGAAUCGCUAGUAAUCGUAGAUCAGAAUGCUACGGUGAAUACGUUCCCGGGCCUUGUACACACCGCCCGUCACACCAUGGGAGUGGGUUGCAAAAGAAGUAGGUAGCUUAACCUACGGGAGGGCGCUUACC